rnacentral:tRNA from 1 species
ACAAAAUGUAGCUUAACUAAAGCACCUCGCUUACACCGAGACCAUAUCCGUGAAACCCAGAUCAUUUUGA